GAUGAAGAACGUAGUGAAAUGCGAUACUUGGUGUGAAUUGCAGAAUCCCGUGAACCAUCGAGUCUUUGAACGCAAGUUGCGCCCGAAGCCAUUAGGCCGAGGGCACGCCUGCCUGGGUGUCACACACCGUUACCCUCGCGCCAACGUCCAUCGUUGGCCGCGGCGCGGGGCGUGCGCUGACCUCCCGCGAGCGGGGUCUCGUGGUUGGUUGAAAAUCGAGUUCGCGGUCGAGGGUGCCGUGAUGAAAUGGUGGAUGGGCGACGCCCGAGGCCAAUCACGCGCGACUCUGUCCGGCUCGGACUCCUGGACCCCUUCGGCGUCUCCGGACGCUCUUUGGCGAGACCUCAGGUCAGGCGGGGCUACCCGCUGAGUUUAAGCAUAUCAAAAGGAGGA
rnacentral:misc_RNA from 1 species